rnacentral:rRNA from 1 species
UACGUUCCGGCUUGUACACACCGCCCGUCACGUCACGAAAGUCGGUAACGCCCGAAGCCGGUGGCCCAACCCUUGUGGAGGGAGCCGUCGAAGGCGGGAUCGGCGAUUGGGACG